AUGAACGCUGGCGGUGUAACCUUAAGCAUGCAAGUCGAGCGGGUCUAGCAAUAGACCAGCGGCAGACGGGGUGAGUAACACGUAGGAAUCUACCUCGAAGUGGGGGGAUAGCCAGCCGAAAGGUUUGGGUAAUACCGCACACUAUCGUAAGAUCAAAGUCGCAAGACGCUUUGAGAGGAGCCUGCGUCCCUAUCAGCUAGUUGGUGGGGUAAUAGCCUACCAAGGCGAUGACCGGGUAGCCGGUGUGAGAGCACGACCGGCCACAAGGUCACUGAAGACAACGGGAACCUACACCUACGGGUGGCAGCAAACUGGGAUUCUUGCGCAAUGGGCGAAAGCCUGACGCAGCGACAACCGCGUGCGGGAUGAAGCUCUUCGGAGUGUAAACCCGCUGUGGCGAGGGAUGAAGUACUGACCGUACCUCGCUAGAAAAGCACCUGCUAAACCACGUGCCAGAAGCCUCGGUAAUACGUGGGGUGCGAAGCGUUAUCCGGAUUUACUGGGCGUAAAGCGUACCGUCGGCGAUCCGACAAGUUUCUUGUCCAAGCCCAAGGCCUUAACUUUGGAAAGGCCAGAAAAACUGUCGGAAUUGAGUCUGUUCGGGGAACUUGGAAUUCUCGGUGGAGGGGUGAAAUCCGUAGAUAUCGAGAGGAACGCCAAGCGCGAAGGCAGGGGUUCUAGGACACGGACUGACGCUCCAGGGGACGAAAGCUUGGGGAGCAAAAGGGAUUAGAGACCCCCUGUAGUCCAAGCCGUAAACAUUGGAUGCUAGUUGUUUUCUUCGCUUUGCGAGGAGUGACGUAAGCUAACGCGUUAAGCAUCCCGCCUGGGGAGUACGACCGCAAGGUUAAAACUCAAAGGAAUUGACGGGGGAAGCGCACAACCGGUGGAAGCAUGUGGUUCAAUUCGAUACGAAGGCGAAAGACCUUACCCAGAUUUGACAUGUAACCUGCACGGUGCUGGAAACAGCAUCUUCUUCGAGAGUGGUACACAGGUGAUGCAUGGCUGUCGUCAGCCUCGUGUCGUGAGACGGUCCCGCUUAAGUGCGGUAACGAGCGCAACCCCUUACCCCUGUGUUGCAUUUCACAGGGGACUGCCCCGAUAUUCGUCGGGAGGAAGGAGAGGACGACGUCAAGGUCAGCACGUCCCUUACAUCUGGGGCCACACACAUCCUACAAUGGAGCCGACAACGGGUCGCAAAAGGGGUAACCCUGAGCCAAUCCUUACAAACGGCCCCUCAGUUCAGAUUGCGGGCUGCAAUUUCGCCCGCAUGAAGUUUGGAAAUCGGUAGUAAUCGCAAAUCAGCAGGUUGCGGUGAAUACGUUCUCGCUCCUUGUACAACACUGCCCGUCAAGCCAGCAAAGUUGGUAGCGCCCGAAGCGGGUGACUCAAACUCGCAAGAGAUGAGCCCCACUACGGCGAGAUCAGCGAUGAAGACU
rnacentral:rRNA from 1 species